GUAAGUUUGUUCAAUCAGUUUAUAAUUAGUGGCUGAUGUGGCCCCCUUCCACAAACAUAUGAAACUAUAUAUAUGUCAGCUUUAUUGUGAUUGUUAUUUGACAUUCUUAUAAAGUUGCUGUUAUGGUUGUGAAGUUACAUUGUUUAAUAUGGAUAUAUAGUUUAAUAUUUGUUCAUUUCUAUAUUGGUAUCAUUAUUCAUAGCUUGGCUGUUG
rnacentral:misc_RNA from 1 species